UACGGAGGGUGCAAGCGUUGUCCGGAAUCACUGGGCGUAAAGGGCGCGUAGGCGGCUAUGUAAGUCACUUGUGAAAUCCCGGGGCUCAACUCCGGGGCCGCAGGUGAGACUGUGUGGCUAGAGCAUGGUAGAGGCGAGUGGAAUUCCCGGUGUAGCGGUGGAAUGCGUAGAUAUUGGGAGGAACACCAGUGGCGAAGGCGGCUCACUGGACCGGUUCUGACGCUGAUGCGCGAAAGCGUGGGGAGCAAACGGG
rnacentral:rRNA from 1 species